rnacentral:rRNA from 1 species
UACGUAGGGUGCGAGCGUUAAUCGGAAUUACUGGGCGUAAAGCGUGCGCAGGCGGUCCGCAAAGUCUGAUGUGAAAGCCCCGGGCUCAACCUGGGAACUGCAUUGGAAACUAACGGGCUCGAGUGUGGCAGAGGGGGGUGGAAUUCCAGGUGUAGCGGUGAAAUGCGUAGAUAUCUGGAGGAACACCGGUGGCGAAGGCGGCAUCCUGGACCAACACUGACGCUGAGUGAGCGAAAGCCAGGGGAGCAAACGGG